GGAUCACUGCAAAUCCAAAGCUAGCCUGGUUGAAGAUCUUGUCUCAAAAAGGAGAAAGAAACAGAGACAGACACACAGACUAACACACACACACACAUACACACACACACGGCGGGGUGGGUACAGAAAGAGGCAUGUGCGGAGACAGAGGAGAGAGAUCAUGCAUUACUGGCUUCUGGAGAGCAGUGUGACCCUGUAAACACCUAGAUGUACAAUUUCUGCUUCCCAGUACUGAGAGAGAGAGUAAGUUUCUAUUGUGCGAAGGCACCCAGGCAUGCGAUACUUUGUUGCACUCGAUCCUUUGUUACAUCAACCCUCAGAAAACCUAAUACAGGACCCUGGGGUGCGGGUGGGGGUUGGGGGAAAGAGGGGGAUCAGGGCCAACAUUACAAAUGGAAAACGAAGGAAAGUCAGAAAGUCAGGCCAAUAAGAUGAAGCCAUUCGUUAAAGAGAAAAGCAAGGGAUUGGCAGUCAGGAAACCUGGUUCCUGUCGUGGUAAUGGGGCUUGCGUCCUGGAGCUGGACACUUAAUUGCUCUCUGCUUUGGCUUUAUCACCUGCGGAACACGAGAGGCUGGAACUCCAUAAGCUACAGACUAAAUCCAGGCUCAUAUCUGGGGAGGCUGAGCACCAAUCAAAGCAACAUUUUAAUGCUUUCGUGGUUCCAGUUUUGGCACUGCAGGGACCUCAGUGACAGGACACAGGAACACAGCUGCGUCUUCAUCUGCCGCCAGCCGCGUCCACACCAGCAGGCUGCACACAUUAAUGUGAACCAGAUUUCCAGGUUCUUCAGCCCCUGGAUGCUUAGAGUCCUUGAAAGAAAACGGUUUCAAUUGGUCUGAUGAGAUCCGAAUUUACUCUGAGUGAGCAUCUCCUGCAAGGUCCUCAAAUCAUCUCUUACGUCUCGAGAUGGCUACAAAGCAGGAAAGACAAAAAUCUCCCAUCUUGCCAAUCUAGACUCUUCAAGUAUGUGACUAACAAACGAAGUGACAUAAUUUUCCUGUGUGCCGCAAGCUCUUUUUAAUAAAAAUUCUGAGAAGCCUACCUUUUCCAGAGGAAAUGGAAUGAACACAUAAUUUGUUCAAGAUGAGUGAUGGAUCAAAACUUGAACCCAAAUCCUGUACGUUAGCCCUUGGCUGGGAUGGGAAGGAGCACUGACUGCUCUUCCAGAGGUCCUGAGUUCAAUUCCCAGCAACCACAUGAUGGCUCACGACCAUCUGUAAUGAGAUCCGAUGCCCUCUUCUGGUGUGUCUGAAGACAGCUACAAUGUAUUCACAUACAUAAAAUAAAUCUUUAUUAAAGAAAAAAAGAAGAAAGAUAUCCCCAUCUUGGCUCCACCCCAUCCUGACUACCACAGUGUACUUUUCUCUCUCAUUUCCUCCUCCCCAUCCCUUAAUUACACACAAUGUAAUAAGCAUGUGCAC